UACGGAGGGGGCUAGCGUUGUUCGGAAUUACUGGGCGUAAAGCGCGCGUAGGCGGACCUGCAAGUCGGGGGUGAAAGCCCGAGGCUCAACCUCGGAACUGCCUUCGAUACUGCGGGUCUCGAGUCCGGGAGAGGUGAGUGGAAUUCCUAGUGUAGAGGUGAAAUUCGUAGAUAUUAGGAAGAACACCGGUGGCGAAGGCGGUCUGCUGGGCAGUUUCUGACACUGAUGCGCGACAGCGUGGGGAGCAAACAGG
rnacentral:rRNA from 1 species